rnacentral:rRNA from 1 species
UUAUUAUCUGGUUGAUCCUGCCAGUAGUCUUAUGCUUGUCUCAAAGAUUAAUCCAUGCAUGUUUAAGUAUAAGCAAUUUAUCCAGUGAAACUGUGAAUGGCUCAUUAAAUCAGUUAUCGUGUCUUUGAUAGUUCCUUUUAUUCAUGGUAUUGAAGUAGUAAUUUUAGAGAUAAGACAUGAUUAAAAUCUCGACCCUUUGGAAGAGAUGUAUUUAUUAGAUAAAAAAUCAAUGUCUUCGGACUCUUCGAUGAUUCAUAAUAUCUUUUCGAAUCGCAUGGCCUUGUGCUGGCGAUGGUUCAUUUAAAUUUUUUCUCUAUCAACUUUCGAUGGUAGGAUAGUGGCCUACCAUGGUUUCAACGGGUAACGGGGAAUAAGGGUUCGAUUCCGGAGAGGGAGCCUGAGAAAAGGCUUCCACAUCCCAGGAAGGCAGCAGGCGCGCCAAUUACCCUAUCCUAAUUCAGGGAGGUAGUGACCAUAAAAAAGGAUUCAGGGCCCAUUCGGGUCUUGUAAUUGGAAUUUUUAAAGGGUAAAUACCUUAUCGAUGAACAAUUGGAGGGCAAGUCUGGUGCCAGCAGCCGUAUUUAUUUUUUUUCGUUUCCUCCU